UUUUUCAUAUUAAAAUAUUUUUUUGUAAGUAUUUGGUGUGAUUUUUGUAUUAUAUUCUCUUUAUUUUGUUGCUUUUGCUUAGUGCCAAUUGAGUUUAUAAAAGAGAGAAAUUAUACAUAUAUUUUUUUAUUAAGGAUACACUAGAGGGAAGGUAGAUAUUACACUUUCAUUAAACGUCACGGAAAACAUCUUCUUCUAGUUCAAAUUUAUGUUGACGAUAUAAUAUUUGGUUCUACUAACAUGCAACUAGUCAUAGA
rnacentral:lncRNA from 1 species